rnacentral:rRNA from 1 species
AUAAGUAACUAACACGAAACUACGUGAGCUAAUUGUUAUUAAAUAAUAUGUGGCAUAAUAUAAUCUGAAUGACAAUUAGGGGUGAUAGGCUUUCCAAACGUAAGAUAUCUUGAUUCUUAUGAUAUGUAGUAGUACAAAGACAAUAUAAGAGUUAUAAGGCUCUUAUAAAUUAUAAACCUAUAAUUUUUAACAUGAGUUGGCUUAAACACCUACAUUUAAACAACGUAAUAUUAAUAAUGUAUAGUUAUUUAUUUUAAUAAGAUGCAAUAAACUUUAAAGGAUGAUAAUAAUGUUUUCAUUAGUAUUUAAAUAGUUAUUAGUAGUGAACUCGGCAUUUUGCUUUCAACUGUUUACCAAAAACAUAGCCGCGUGCAUGUACACGCGGUAAUUUCUGCUCAAUGAGAAUUAAAUAGCCGCAGUACCUUGACUGUGCUAAGGUAGCGUAAUCACUUGUCUUUUAAUUGAAGUCAUGUAUGAAAGAACAUAUGGGGGCAAUCUUUACCAUUAAUAAUUUGAGAAAUUACUUAGUGGGUGCAAAAUCCCACUAUUAAUAAAUAGACGAGAAGACCCUAGAAAUUUAUAGCAACGUUUUGUUGGGGCAACAUAGUAGCAGUUAAUCUACUAUAUGUAUAUGACAUAUUAUUGAUAAAUAAAAUUACUCUAGGGAUAACAGCAUAAUCUAUAAAUGUUUGUGACCUCGAUGUUGGAUUAGGGAGUUGUUGUUUAGA